AUGAAGCCUCUUCGAAUCAAGAAACGAGAGAGCGCCGGCACACCCGCUGAAGACGAGGCACUGACUGGCUUGACUUCCUCCGCCUCUUCUGUGGCGGCAGGCAGUCUUGCCCCUCGCCAUGUGCCAUCACCGCCGGCGGUGAAAGGAGGGCGUUUGCCGGCGCAUCCGGGGCAUGACUCCGGCCCUUCACCUGCCGCUGCCACUCCUGCGCCGACCGCAAAAGUCUCCGCGGCUGUGAAGUUUUCGUCAGAGCUCGACAACGCGGCCGUGGAGGCGUACUUGGAGUACUUGACACAUCCGCACAUGAGCUGGGAGAGUGCCUCACGUCAUGUGGCGCACUGCCGCGAGGUCAUCGAGGAGCACCGCAAUUCCAUUUACGCCCGUUCUCUUGCCAUGUUGCGCCGCUCGUCGUUCGCCUCCACGAUCGGCAGCGAGGGCGGAGACCUAGAUGCGCUAGAGACAAGUACAACCUCCUCCGUUGCCUCCGCGCCCGCCGGGUUCCCGCGCACCGCGCCAAACGGCAGCAAUAAAGCAACAGGAACCUUGCGUAAGGGUCGGCUUGGGGAUGCAGGGUCACCCCUGCUGCCCUCCGACGCGGCAGAGCCGUUAGCCAUUGUGGCGCACUCCUCGGCUGCGGUCAGCAGCAGCCACAGCGCAGACUCGGCAAGUUGCACCUCCACCGGGACCGGGCAGCGAGCGCCGUCGAACAAGGGGCGCUUGCUGCGUGGGCCAGCGCUGGCGGGGCCACCGCGGCCACAUCGCACAUCAUCGUCCGCUACGGCACCGGCUGCGGUGGGUGAGAGUGUGCUCGGCGUUGGCGGCGCGAAGCUGCUGGGUGGCAGCGGCAGUGUGUUCUUGGUCAACGGUCGCAGCUCAGCAGUGACCAGCCGUACGGCAUCGCGCGACAGUACCGACAGGCUGCCCCCCGUAGCCCCGCAAGGGGGUGGGGAGAGCCUGAUCCAUUGCAAGAGGACUGGCGGCGCGCGUGCGGCGGUUCCAUCCCCUCAACCGAAGCACCGGUUGAAG